rnacentral:rRNA from 1 species
AGUUUUGCAAAAAAAACCUCCACUUUCUCCCAACCAAACCCGCGCUCCUUCGUCGUCCUCCUCCGACAGAAGCCGCAGCUACGCUGCUCCACGCCGCCGCAGCUGCGCUGCUCCCUGCCGCUGCAGCUGCCCUGCUCUCCGCCAACGCAGCUCCCUGCUCCCCCGCCGCAGCUGCCUCCUGCUUCCCCGCCGCAGCUGCCGCUUGCCUGCCUCCCCAAGCUCCCCCCUUCCUCAAAAAAACUUCGAUUUCCCCAGCUACCAGCGCGCUCUGCUCCAGCUGCGUCGGAACCGGCGUCGGCGAGCCCGGAGGCACUGGAUCCGGACCACCACCAACAACCUAAAGGCCGACGAGGCCGACGAGCCCGAUGACGACAGGAGAUGCAGCAAGCUAAACGCCGACGAGCCCGACGACUCCGGCAAGCUAAAGGCCGUCGAUUUGCGAGCAUGGAAGACGACGACGACAGCUCCACAAGGAAUACGAUCGCGGCGGCGUCUUCUUCGCUGUUUCUCUGGUGGAAGACCCGUGCCUGCGACACCACGGCUGGGCUGUCCAGUGGGUCGCGCCUGCUCACUUGGCAGCAGCAGUGGCGACUGAACCUCUCUUCUACUGCAGCGGUUUUCUCCACUACUGCACAUCAUCUCCAAGUCCUAUAGCAGAUCAUCUCCAGGUCUGAACCUCUCUUCGCUGUUUACUGAAUUUACUGAAUGUGAGAUGGUUCAGACCUAGUUCUACUAGUACUAGUUCCACUGCACAGUUAACUGAAUAAUUUUGCAAGCACUAGUUCUACUGGUACUCCAAGAAGACUAUGCCUAGCUGGAAUUUGUGCCGUGGAAGGCUGAAGGUUGUUGGCAAUGAAAAGUUCAGUUAUCCUAUGAUGCAGUUUUGUCCCAUGGUUGUUAUUUGUUUCUCUUGGCCCCUGGUAAUUACUCUUGGCCCCUGGUACUCCAAGAAGACUAUGCAGUUAUCCUAGUUAUUUGUUUCUCUUGGCCUCAUGAGUAGAUGAUUCAAAAACAUCACUGAUUGGAUUGAAGAAUGGAUGCUGUAAUUAAAUUUGUCCCUUGGAUUUGGUGAUUUGGUUCUGCUCUGUUUAUUUUGUUUGUGUUGCCCUGAGAUUCAGUUAUCUUCUGGUGGCAAAGGAAAGUUCAGUUAUCUUCUGAUGCAAUUUUGUCCCCUGCUGUCAUUUGUUUUUGUUGAUCCCUGCUAAUUUUGUCCCUAAGUGAAC